CCUCCCUAUAACCCCUCCUAUUACUCCAUAUAACCCUCCCUAUAACCCCUCCUAUUACUCCAUAUAACCCUUCCUAUAACCCCUCCUAUUACUCCAUAUAACCCUCCCUAUAACUCCUCCUAUUACUCCAUAUAACCCUUCCUAUAACCCCUCCUAUUACUCCAUAUAACCCUCCCUAUAACUCCUCCUAUUACUCCAUAUAACCCUCCCUAUAACCCCUCCUAUUACUCCAUAUAACCCUCCCUAUAACUCCUCCUAUUACUCCCUAUAACCCUCCCUAUAAC